GACGAACGCUGGCGGCGUGCCUAAUACAUGCAAGUUGAGCGAUGAAGAUUGGUGCUUGCACCAAUUUGAAGAGCAGCUAACGGGUGAGUAACGCGUGGGGAAUCUGCCUUUGAGCGGGGGACAACAUUUGGAAACGAAUGCUAAUACCGCAUAACAACUUUAAACAUAAGUUUUAAGUUUGAAAGAUGCAAUUGCAUCACUCAAAGAUGAUCCCGCGUUGUAUUAGCUAGUUGGUGAGGUAAAGGCUCACCAAGGCGAUGAUACAUAGCCGACCUGAGAGGGUGAUCGGCCACAAUGGGACUGAGACACGGCCCAAAAUCCUACGGGAGGCAGCAGUAGGGAAUCUUCGGCAAUGGACGAAAGUCUGACCGAGCAACGCCGCGGGAGGGAAGAAGGUUGUCGGAUCGUAAAACUCUGUUGGUAGAGAAGAACGUUGGUGAGAGUGGAAAGCUCAUCAAGUGACGGUAACUACACAGAAAGGGACGGCUAACUACGUG
rnacentral:rRNA from 1 species